UAUAGGGACUAAAUAAACUUUUCUCUUUUUUUACAUAAACCUUAAAAUUUGAUUUUUUUUUAAUUUUUUUUUUUUUGGGAGGUACAAAUGAAAGAAUGAAGGUGAAAGAAGUGUAAAUCAUCAUCAGAGCAGGUGUGGCAAUCAAAGAUCGUGGUGUACACAAAACAUCUGAGCCCACCAUUUUAAAUCCCAUGACUCAUUAAAGCAGUAAGUAUCAUAUCACAUAUUCACAUUAUUCUGCCAAUGCUGCAGUACUUUAUGGCACGUGUAAUAUCAUCUGAUCGUGUGGGUGGGUUGGGUUUGUUGUUAAUUAUGCUCCUAAUCAAACUCAAAAAUGAACCUACAGCACCAGAAAAAAAAAAUAAUAAUAAUCAGCAAUAUUGGAUCCCAAAGGCAAAUUAAUUUGGUAGAAAUGAACGUCAUUUUACAAGUUCUCAUAAAGUGUUUGGGCAAGAUUACAUUUUCAUUAAUUAUUAUUAUUAUUAUUAUUGGGGUUGGAAAUUUUUCCAAAAAUACAAGGUAAUGUUAAGACGAUGGGUUUAAUGUUGGGUCUACUUCGCAAAAUAGAGUGGGAAAUUGAAAUCGGAAUCGGAAUCGGAAUUGUGGGGUCCACCAUAAUUUAGAAAUAUUCCCGAAAAUAAUUAUUUUGCCUCUCCAA
rnacentral:lncRNA from 1 species